rnacentral:rRNA from 1 species
UACGAAGGGUGCAAACGUUGCUCGGAAUCAUUGGGGCGUAAAGCGCACGUAGGCGGCUUCGCAAGUCGGAUGUGAAAUCCCUCGGCUCAACCGAGGACGUGCAUCCGAAACUGCGGAGCUUGAGUACUGAAGAGGAUCGCGGAAUUCCCGGUGUAGAGGUGAAAUUCGUAGAUAUUGGGAGGAACACCAGUGGCGAAGGCGGCUCACUGGACCGGUACUGACGCUGAGGCGCGAAAGCGUGGGGGAGCAAACGGG